GAAGCGGUGGUGUAGUAUUUAACAAGUCGUACUGCGAAUACUACUGAUUCAGGUUCGAUCCCUGGUGGCUUCA